GGGCUCGUGGUCUAGUCGGCUAUGACGUCGCUCUCACACGGCGAAGAUCCUGAGUUCGAAUCUCAGCGGGCCCA
rfam:Candidatus Methanoperedens nitroreducens strain ANME-2d ANME2D_Contig_2.2, whole genome shotgun sequence.